UGGCGGACGGGUGAGUAAUGUCUGGGAAACUGCCUGAUGGAGGGGGAUAACUACUGGAAACGGUAGCUAAUACCGCAUAACGUCGCAAGACCAAAGAGGGGGACCCUCGGGCCUCUUGCCAUCGGAUGUGCCCAGAUGGGAUUAGCUUGUUGGUGGGGUAACGGCUCACCAAGGCGACGAUCCCUAGCUGGUCUGAGAGGAUGCCAGCCACACUGGAACUGAGACACGGUCCAGACUCCUACGGGAGGCAGCAUG
rnacentral:rRNA from 1 species